rnacentral:lncRNA from 1 species
CACAGUCAAACUACAAUAACCGACACGUAAGAUAACCGUGGUGCCUCAGGUCAAAGGGUCAUUCACACUACUACAGUAUGGAACAAUUCACUGACGAGUGAGUAGACAUCUAUGUGAUUGUUUAUAGUUGGUCACGCUCAGUGAUAUUGUUCUCCAACAUUCACCUGUAUGCUUACUCUAGUGUCACCACACUAAUGACUUGAGACUCGUCAUCCCAUAAGGGAAGUACAACAUAUACUGAUCUAUCCGGAUUUACCACCGCCCUCAUGAUAAUCAUAUGAUCAGGAGCAUUUAAGAAUUAAUUACAGAAGAAUAUAUGUCUCAAAUUUUUAACUUCUUAGAAAUUUAAUUCUUCUGCUAUUAAUUCUAUGGACGAUUCAUAAAUAUACAUUUGGCAAUAAUAUGAAUUAAGAGUGCCAGAUUUAAUCAUAGAAGAAAAAUACACUGAUAUUAACCCUUUAAGUUAUGACAGAGAUUG